GCUGGGUGAAACCUUCAGGCUCAAAAGAGCCUUAAUGAAGACCAGCCCUCUGAUUGCACAGACAUGUUAGAGAGACAGGCCUAGAGAAGGCAGAGAGUACCCCAGAUUUGCCUGUGGUAACUCUGAGGAUCCUCAGGUUAAAGAACCCGGAUCACCUGCCUACCUGCCUAUCCACCAAAGUUCUAUCACUUGACCAGACCAUUCCCCCACCGCACCCUGUCAACAUCAUCCAAGCCCAGAGGAUCUGAAAGCAAUUUUCUCCCUGUUUUAACAUUCAGGUUCUUACCUUGUCCUAGAAAGGCAGCUUGGUGUUUGCAGAAAGAGCCACAGACUCU
rnacentral:lncRNA from 1 species